CUUUUAGAAUGUGACAGAUGAAAAAAAAAGAGGCGCACUCAAGGGCUUGAUACUAAUACAAUUUGUAUUGAGAACCGAGGUUUUAACAAUGAGUCUAAAGACAAAAACUGGGAAACAAACGUUUCGGGCUUAGCCCAUUAUCAAUGUCUCCAUUAUGACGAUACAAAUUGUAUUAGUAUGAAGCCCUUGAGUGCGCUUCUGUUUUUUUCUACUGUAAUACUCAACUUUUGGAGUUCACGCACCAGGCAAAACAUCACAAACUUACGUAAGGCGCAGUAACAACAACAGCAACAACAGUGGUUAAAGAUUCUGAUGAAAAGUAGGUUUGAAAAUGUGUUGUGAUAGCCUUAGCUUUUUCACCAACUUUCACAAUUAUAAUUCUAU